AUUGAACGCUGGCGGCAGGCCUAACACAUGCAAGUCCAACGGUAACAGGAAGAAGCUUGCUUCUUUGCUGACGAGUGGCGGACGGGUGAGUAAUGUCUGGGAAACUGCCUGAUGGAGGGGGAUAACUACUGGAAACGGUAGCUAAUACCGCAUAACGUCGCAAGACCAAAGAGGGGGACCUUCGGGCCUCUUGCCAUCGGAUGUGCCCAGAUGGGAUUAGCUAGUAGGUGGGGUAACGGCUCACCUAGGCGACGAUCCCUAGCUGGUCUGAGAGGAUGACCAGCCACACUGGAACUGAGACACGGUCCAGACUCCUACGGGAGGCAGCAGUGGGGAAUAUUGCACAAUGGGCGCAAGCCUGAUGCAGCCAUGCCGCGUGUAUGAAGAAGGCCUUCGGGUUGUAAAGUACUUUCAGCGGGGAGGAAGGGAGUAAAGUUAAUACCUUUGCUCAUUGACGUUACCCGCAGAAGAAGCACCGGCUAACUCCGUG
rnacentral:rRNA from 1 species